rfam:Ovis aries breed Texel chromosome 8, whole genome shotgun sequence.
UCCCUGGUGGCUUAGUGGUAAAGAAUCUGCCUGCCAACGCAGGAGACAUGGGUUCAAUCCCUAAUCCGGGAA